rnacentral:lncRNA from 1 species
UCCAAAUUAGGAGUUGCCUCCGACCAGGGAAGGGGAUUCCAAUGCAAUGCUAGGUGACAUUGAAGUGGUCAUUUAUAACUACGUUACUAUGGAGACAGGAAAGAUAUAUAUUUAUCCAAACCUGGGGAUGAAUUAAUCUUAAAAAGAUGAGUACAAGUACUUCAACAGAUGAGGACAAUCUGAAGGUUAGCUGUUUGCUUCAUGUGAAUAGGAGCAAAGCCCAAGGAGAGGACACCUUCACCCUUCAACCCUUCUGAGUAAAACGGAGAUCCUAUCCCUAAAGCAAGACUCCAAGUCAAUGGGCCUGCGCACAAUAGGAGAACAUCUGGCCUCGGGGACACGUUUACCUCUAGGCAAAGAGCAGGAGCGCAGUAUUGAGUAUUGUCGUAAACAAUACCAUUUGGAAACCUGGUUCCGCUCCUGUGAGUCCAGCAAAUGCCUCAAAGACGCCCUUUUAGGAUUUCUUUAAAUUAAUCUGAGACAACGUGGGAAUACUCUCUAUAUAGUAUCUAGCCUACUGGAUAUGUCACGGCACUAAAGUCUGUGUAAAUAAAAGGCCCAGAUAAACUCGGCGAUGGGCCUUUCUGGCAAAACCAGGCUGGCUUUACAUGGCAAAACCAGGGCCUUACGUGUUUGGACACCUGACUUUCCAUGUUGCCCGUAAAAUCGCUGGUAGGGAAACAUUUUAAUUUAGUAGGCACCUUAUUUUUACCGAGAUGCUUAAGGCUGUCACGAGCUACUACUCUUGAUGGUAGUAGGAAAUAAACACGAGCGAUGAAAAC